rfam:Oryza meridionalis cultivar OR44 (W2112) chromosome 10, whole genome shotgun sequence.
AAUACUUGCAGUUUUGCACGGUUUAUUUUUAUCGUUUGAUCGUUCGUUUUAUUUGAAAAUUUUUUAUGAUUAGUAUUUUUAUAGUUAUUAGAUGAUAAAAUAUGAAUAGUUGACUAAUUUUUUUAAAAUAAUUCAUAAAUUUUUCAAAUAAACCGGACGGUCAAACGUUGAAUACGGAUACCUACGGCUACACUUAUU